CCUACGGGGGGCAGCAGUGGGGAAUAUUGCACAAUGGGGGAAACUCUGAUGCAGCGACGCCGCGUGAGUGAAGAAGGAUCUCGGUAUGUAAAGCUCUAUCAGCAGGGAAGAAAAUGACGGUACGUGAUUAAGAAGCCCCGGCUAACUAGGUGCCAGCAGCCGCGGUAAUACGUAGGGGGCAAGCGUUAUCCGGAUUUACUGGGUGUAAAGGGAGCGUAGACGGCAGCACAAGUCUGGAGUGAAAUGCCGGGGCUUAACCGCGGAACUGCAUUGGAAACUGGGCAGCUAGAGUGCAGGAGAGGUAAGUGGAAUUCCUGGUGUAGCGGUGAAAUGCUUAGAUAUCGCGCAGAACCCCGAUUGCGAAGGCAGCGUACCGGCUCCACACUGACGCUGAGGCACGAAGGCGUGGGUAUCGAACAGGAUUAGAUACCCGGGUAGUC
rnacentral:rRNA from 1 species